rnacentral:rRNA from 1 species
AUUGAACGCUGGCGGCAGGCCUAACACAUGCAAGUCGAACGAGUGGCGGACGUGUUAGUUAUGUCUGGGCAACUGCCUGGUGGAGGGGGAUAACUACUGGAAACGGUAGCUAAUACCGCAUACCAUCAGAUGUGCCCAGAUGGGAUUAGCUUGUUGGUGGGGUAACGGCUCACCACGGCGACGAUCCCUACCUGGUCUGAGAGGAUGACCCGCCACACUGGAACUGAGACACGGUCCAGACUCCUACGGGAGGCAGCAGUGGGGAAUAUUGCACAAUGGGAGCAAGCCUGAUGCAGCCAUGCCGCGUGGAUGAAGAAGGCCUUCGGGUUGUAAAGCACUUUCAGCGGGGAGGCGUUACCAGCAGAAGAAGCACCGGCUAACUCCGUGCCAGCAGCCGCGGUAAUAC